ensembl:lncRNA LINC00222 long intergenic non-protein coding RNA 222
CUCCUUUCCUAGUGUCCCCAUCUUUGCUGCCUUCUGUGAGUUUGAUCAUGUGGACUCCAUGGAGGUUGGCCACUGCUGGGCAAUGCAGCCAAACAAAGUGAGCAAAAGUAGGCUGGAGGGCUCCGUGGGUGACUGGGGCUAGGCUGCCUCUGGUGCCCCAAGAACCCUGAAGCCACCUUGCAGCUCUUCUGAAAUGGGUUGGGGGAUCCAGCUAUCUGUAAUUGUGAAGUGAAGAGGAUGUGACUGCCAGGUAAUGCUAACCCCGAAUCCUUGGUGCCUGUGUUAUGCACCAUAUGCUGAAUUUCGGUUCCAGCUGUGUGCUAGGCUGGGUCUGAUCUGGCAAAGAGGAACUGGCUCCACAGCUCUGGGCAGAAUCCACUGCUGCUCCCACACAGAGAAGACCAGGGGAACCGCAGUCCCACUCUGACUUCAGGUAACAGAAGGAAGAGAACACAUGGAUGGGCACAUGCUGGGCCCGGAAGAGCUGUGCAUGUCCCACAGACCACGAGUGUGGAGCCCAUGGCCGUGUGAAGGGGGUGGGGUCCCAGUCCUAGAAGCAGGAUCAUGGAAGUGGCCUUGGAGGACCUGACGAGGA